GGGCAAGAGAGAGUAGCAAGAAGUUAGUGGGAGUGUGAAGUAUUUUGAAGUGGAAAAUAGAAAUCACCACCAACAGAUUCCCCAUAAUGGAGGUGAUGAGACAACGUGCAGAGGAGCACCAAGGAAGGAUUUGUUCAGAGUAGUUUGGUCAAAUCCUUGGGGGUGAAGCAACAAAGACAGAUGCUACAAGAGUUACAACUUGAUUCCAUCUGAGGGAUGCAAGACUUUUGGAAUGCUGCACAAAUGCACCCAUGCCCAACAUCUUCAUUUCCCUAGUGGACUAAUAAGAGAGAAAGGAAGAGGAAGACAAGAAAUUGGAGGAAGACAGAAGAGGAGCUCUGUUUUUCAAAAAGAAAUAAGUGAUACCGAAAUCAGAGGCUCUCUGAACCGGAGAGAGUGCUGUAUACAUAUGUAUAAGAAAUGUGGAUUGUGCAUGCGAUUGUGCAUUUGCUAAAUGCUGUUUUCUCUUUGCUUAGGCUUGUAUAUCUUUUGCAUUGUUGCAAACUGGGCUUUUUUUCCGAAUGAAAGUUAAGGAUUGAUUAUAAUAUCAAUGAGAAAGCAAAGACUUUUUUGCUAAAAUAACAGUGCAAAUAGUUGGGGAAGGGAGAUCCUGGUCCUCCCCCUGAUGAAAACAUUGUAUUUCCCUCUCUUUCUCUCUUUUUCCCUUGUAAGUAGGACCUUCCUUUAUUUUCAGUUCCUGCAAAAAUAUAAAUAGAAAACCAUCUUACAGGUACCAGUUACAGUGCAAUUAUUGAUUCUUUAGCCUGAUGUUACUGUUUAAUUAUUAAACUGCUAGUUUACAAAACAAAUAAGCUGGGAUAAAGAAUUCUGCAGUAUGAAUAGUGUCUAUACUAAUUUGGAAAUUCGGAAAAGCGGAAGUAAAGCUUCAACAAUUAACUGAAUGAUGUGAGUACGCAGUUGAUUGGUGUAUUAAGAGACAUCUUUUUUCAAAUCAAACAACUUUUCAGCUUCAAGGCAGUAUAAGCUAAACAAUAUUUGUUUGCAUUGAAAUGAGCUCAAUGUGUUAUUCAAAUAAACAUAGAGGCUUUUAAAUCAUAAAACUGCAAAAAAGAAGAAAGAAUACAUACUUUCUUGGCUUGGGGUUCAAAUAUGUAAAUAGCAUAGGAAAA